UAGGGAAUCUUCCACAAUGGGCGAAAGCCUGAUGGAGCAACGCCGCGUGCAGGAUGACGGCUUUCGGGUUGUAAACUGCUUUUAUAUGGGAAGAUUAUGACGGUACCAUAUGAAUAAGGAUUGGCUAACUCCGUGCCAGCAGCCGCGGUCAUACGGAGGAUCCAAGCGUUACCCGGAUUUAUUGGGCGUAAAGCGUUGCGUAGGUGGUUUAGUAAGUGAGGUAUGAAAUGUUAGGGCUCAACCCUGAAGGUGUAUCUCAAACUACUAAACUAGAGCAUAUUAGAGGCAAGUGGAAUUCCUGGUGUAGGAGUGAAAUCCGUAGAUAUCAGGAGGAACACCAAUGGCGAAGGCAGCUUGCUGGGAUAUUGCUGACACUGAGGCACGAAAGCGUGGGGAGCGAACCGGAUUAGAUACCCGGGUAGUCCACGCCGUAAACGAUGGAUACUAGCUGUUGGGCGUAUCGACCCGCUCGGUAGCGAAGCUAACGCGUUAAGUACG
rnacentral:rRNA from 1 species